UAGCCACUUAACAACAUAACAAAAUAACACUUAACAAAAUAAUCAGGACAGGAAACAUUCAAUCUUGUAUUGUAACAAGUUUAUAGGACUGGCUGAGCAUUUUGUCCUUCAUGUAGGGUAGAAGUGGGAGUGCUAUGCUGCUGGGAAGUGGAGAUUUACUGUUUUCCAGAGUAUGCACAGCGUUACGUCCAGUCAAAGAGAGAAAGCUGUUAUUGGAAUUGGUGUUGUAAUUGAAGUCUCAAAACCUACCAUGCUGCGCAGAUUAUAAGAAGAACUAGAAUAGCUAAGGAUACAAAUUAGGAGGCAUCCAAUCACACGUUGACCAUCCCUGCAGACAAAGAACAUUUUGAUGAAAUUUUAAGGUCCUUCCCUCCCUCAGGUAUUGUGUGGUUUGUUUGUUUUUUCCUGUUUAAAACUAGCAGUAUUGUCCAUGAUAUUGUUUUGUUGACAUAUUCCACCUAUA
rnacentral:lncRNA from 1 species